GCCUGUACCCUAGUGCUUUGUAUGGCUGUGGCUGUUCAGCCGCUACUUCUGAUCCCCUAGGACUGGGAGCAGCCUGCCUGGGGGAGACCAUCAGGAUGUCUAUGGAAGGCUGCUUCAUGCUACAAGGGCAGAGUUAAGUCUUUGGUAUAGAGACUGGUUGGCAAAGUUGAAAAUGUUGCCCCAGGUCCUUUUGGGGAUUAUUUACCAGCCCCUGGUUUGAGUGUUGUCUGGCAGGACCCAGGCUCUGAGCUGAUCCUCCCUCACUCAAGGCCUGCUGCAGCCUCCCGCUGAGGUCUUGAAACCAUCAGGAGCAGUUGUUCUUUGGCCUCCGGGACACCGCAGGGCUGAGUUGCUCCCUGCCUGGAGGUGGUCCCAUGGGGCCCACUGUCUGGGUCAAGGAUGGUGCAGAGCUGGUGUCCUCAAAAUGCAUCCUGGUGGAGCCCCAGCAGCUGCAGGUGCUGACUGCCUCUCACGAGGACCCUGGGGGCCUGCAGCUGCAGCGACUCACCCAGCAUGAGCGGUGCCACUCAGUGUGCACAUGACAGAUGCUCCAUCCUCAGGAGAUGACAAAGACGUGGAGGACAAGGCUGAAGACACA
rnacentral:lncRNA from 1 species